UUGCUUUGGUACCACGUAUGUUACAUUAAAAUGAUACAGAGAAGAUCAACAUGGGCCCUGUGCAAGGAUGACACUCAAAUUCAUGAAGGUUUCCAUAUUUUU